CUAGCAACAGCCUGCUUGACCUAUGUGCUGGCAAAGGCCAAGGCAGCGCCCCUCUCCGGCCGUCUGUCCUCCUGGUGAGAAACAAUUGAGGAAGCACUGAAGCCAGUAUUAACCGUUCCAGUGCUGACAGCUCUGUGGCAGUACCAAAGAAGUUUUAUUUUGUUCAUCGCUUACUUAUCCUCGCUACUUCUCUCGCCUAGGCCCUCCUUUGUGGAAAAGAUCACUUCUAGAGAUUGGAAUGGCUACAGGAAAUAGAGACUGGGAUUCGGUUGAAAAACUGGAUAGGGAUGGCGACUGUCCCUUUGUCUCUGAGCUAGAGGUGGCAGUGGAACAGCCUGUAUCCCUGAGACUUGGAUGCCAAGGUUCCAGGGGGACCUGAAGGUCAAGUGGACACAGCAGGAGCAGCAUUUGUGCCACAUUGUCUCCCCAGUGCCAUGUCUAAGCGGGUGCCCACCAGAUGAGAGAACCCUGCAGGGGGCUAUAGGGAUCGUAUUAUGAAAACUGUGUUGGAUCCAACUGUGUUGGAUCAACAGCCAGGAUGAGUUUGCUUCACACUCACAGCAGUUUCCCGGGUAGAAGAAAUUUGAUGCCAAUUCUGCACACCCAAAUUCCUGGCAGAUUAAUCAGCAAGUAGUACAGAGAGCUGCUUUCUUUAAAAAGCUUCAUUUAUCACUCAAACUGUGAAUGCUGAGAUGCCAAGGCACUGUGGAGAAAUGAUCCUUUAGAGAAAGAGAGCAUGCAUGUGAGCAGAGGAAGAGCAGAGAGAGGAGACAGAGAAUCCAAAGUGCACUCCAUGCUGAAAGCAGAAAACCCCAUGUGGGGCUCAAACUGUCAGAACUGUGACCCUUGACCGUUUUCAUUUUCCCUGUGAGGUUUAGCAGUAUCUCAACAGGAAGCUCCUUGCCACAGUGUAACACAGUGUAUAGCUCUCAUGUGGUUUCACCAUCUCCUGGUACUCAAGUCGCCAACAGUCAGCUGUGUCCUACUUUUCCAUGACCCAUCACUGACAACCCAUGUAAUGUCACAUGUUUGAACAACUUAUUUAGGCAUGUCAGAGAAAAUCCAAGGGGAAAGAGGAGUCAGGAAGAAUUGUAAAAAUAAAUAAAAGGUAGGAGUUGGCAGGAAAUGAUUUAAGGAGAAGAGGAAAUAGAAAUCAGAUUUGCUUCUAAUUUCCUUUGUGUUCUUACACCAUUUUAGAAAUUAGCAUUUACAUUUAUGACUGAUUGGAUGAACCAACUCUUCUGAUCCUCUCAUUCAACAAACAUACAGAUUUCCUUAUUGGGGUGGAGUUGAGGAAGUUUUCAAAGUGGGCCAAAGCCACACGGGAACAUGUGUCAAAAGUGAAAUGGUCUUCCAUAAGUUGAGCUUCGAGUAGGUAAUGUAGAAGUUAUCAAACAGCUCCUUUGAGCUCCUUGGUCUCCUGGUUAAGCAACUGGCUGAGCCACUUUCAAAAAAGACCCAAACACACUGGCUUUACAAGAAUGGCCUCUGUUUCUCUUUCAGAUGAUAGUACAGUGGUGGGUAGGUGGGUGGUCCAGGGCAAUAGUUGCUCUGCUCCACAAGGUCAUACUGGGUAAUGAAUGAGGCUGAGAUGGUGGCUUUACAUCACCAUUGCAUGAUAUCUACCUGUGGGUUCAUGAUGUCACUCCAGCUGUCCCCGUUCCCAGCCAGGUGGAAGAGGCAAAGUAAGCAGAGGACUAAGAGCUUCCUUUUUAGGGAAUCACCUGACAGCUGCCCUUUUACUUCUGCUCACAUCCCAUUGGCCAGAAACUUGAAGGGAAGCUGGACAUAUGCCCUGACAAAACUCUGCUGGGUGGGGUCUGAUUACUAAAUGGAACAAGGAGACACUGGGUGCCUUGGAGUACUUCGUAGUCUUUGCUGUACCUGGUUCUUUGGAGGUGAUUCAACUCUCUCAGAAGAAUGUGUUAGACCCAGUGGGCAAACCCCCAAUUCCCCACUCUACUAGAAAACCUCUACUUCCAUCUAUUUGGGAGUACUAUCUAAAUUUCUAUCUGAAAAAUGGAUUUCUACCCACAAAAAAGUUUGAAGACCAGUUUACAGAUUAGUGUGCCACGGUAGAAAGAGAAGCUCACAUCAGUGAAAUAACUUUAGCCAGAGGACCUUGUUACACCUUGGAGCUGUUCUUCCACUCCCUGGCCGCCACCAUUCUGACAAGCAGACCCUGAGGCAAGGGAGGUGGGGAACUAUAAAGAGCCAGGCUGCACCUCCUCACACAGGAGGCUCAUUUGCUUUCCCACCUGAUCCCUCUUCCACACUCAGCACUAAACAGUUCUCAAUCUCAGGAGAAAAUAAGAAUCCCAAGAUUGAAAAUCCCAUCUUGCUUUGAGUGCAGUCACUGGGGGACAUGUGGUGGGGGUGGUGCUCAGAAUCAGGGAAAUGGAGAUAUACACAAGCAGGAUUAGGCCAUCUGGAUUUGCUAACUGGUGUUUAUGGAAGCAAGGCUCCUACCCUCCUACAGAGACUGGGAGACAGGGACCUUAUCUGCAAGUGUUGGCUGGAAGAAACUAAAUUCUUCUGGCAGCUUUAAGCUUUCCCACGCAAGAACUUCAGGGGGCUGGAGUGGACAUCCCAAGCACAUGGCCUUGAACUGUUAGAAACUAUGCUAGUGUUUGUUCCAGUCUCUUAAUGCAGGGCUUGGACGGAGUGGUUAGUGCCAAAGCUCUUCUGCAGCGCUGACAGCCCACGCCUCGUCCAUACAGGGGAUCUUUGUGGGGUCGGGUCCAGAACAGCAUGGCCCUUAGAAUAGGGAGAGUGAAUAAGAUUCAGGGCUUCCCUGCUCACAGCGCCACACAUCCCUGCCUUCUCCAAAGCACCCCCGCUGGGGGUGGGGCUUUUGUAUUUUGGUUGUCCUCACGUUUUUACAAAUUAGAAUGGGCCUGUAGUCACAACCUGGGUCCCCGAGCUUCCUAGAGCGGCUGAGCAGGGAGCAGGCUCCAGGUCACACUUCUGACAGCGACAAUAGCUUUGGCUGUGUUGCGGGUUUGAGCUGGGACCGCUGGGCGUGGCCCCGAGGGCGGGACCUGGCACCCCAAGGAGCUUUACGGAGGCGACCACUCAGGCUGUCUUUGGAGCUCUAGCCCCCUCCCUAGUACACCUCACUCCUCAACUCUUCUCCAUACCCCACCUCCAAUCCUUACCUUGUCCCCAGAGCACUUUCCUUCUCUUUCACACACGACCUUGACCCACCCCACUCACCACUUGUAUUUGCUGGUGCCUUUUAAGUUCAGCUUCUUUCUAGCAGUGUGUCUGCUUGUAACUUUCUUCUUCCUCCUUUGCUGGGUAAUGCCUACUCAGCCUCAGCCCUCAGCCCUCAGCCCUCAGUUACAACACUGCCUUUUCAUUUUUGUCUUUCCCUGAGCCCCCAGACCAGGUCAGUCCCUGCUCCCUCCCACCUCUGGACUUCUCCCAAAGUGAGGCCUCAGUUGUUUAUCUACUCUCAUGAAGUCUCACAGUGAAAAGAAGCAAAGGAAGAGAGAAGUAGUUUGUUUGAUGGCACAGCAGAGUGAAGGCAAGGCUACCUCAACACUGGGGGUCAAGGCCAGCAUGUUUGAAAGCAGAAGCUAAGAUGCCAUUGGAGAGGAGAAAGGUGGUGAGGGCAGUACAAUUGAAGAAGGAGACCUGGUUUAGAAAAAGCAACAAGAAAGAAAGGAAAGUAUGCCCACAGAGACAAAAGAAGCCGGCAUCACAGAUGCCAUCUUGCUUCUUUUUUUCUUUUUGAUGCUGUCUUGCUUCUGACAAAAUUUUGAAGCUGGAUAACUAAAUGAGGAACUUAUUCUAACCCUAUAAUGGGUGUGUGUUUAUGGCACCUUUCCACAAGUCUGCAGCCCACCUGAAAUACUGCAGUUUGGAACUGGCUAAAAUAAAGAGUGUCAGGAAGGUGGGAGAGGUGAGCUGCGAUCCCCAGGCGGAGACCCUACAAGGAAAAAAUCCUCCUGAAAAAGAAGCUGGGACCUACGAGCUCCAAGAAUUGUGCUCAUUGCAGUGUCUUGCUUGUUUUGUUUAAAUUGUAUCUUCAGAGGACAAGGUCUAAGAAAUAA